UACGGAGGGUGCAAACGUUGCUCGGAAUCAUUGGGCGUAAAGCGCACGUAGGCGGCGCGUUAAGUCGGAUGUGAAAGCCCCGGGCCUCAACCCCGGGAAGUGCAUACGGAAACUGGCGCGCUUGAAUAUGGAAGAGGGUCGCGGAAUUCCCGGUGUAGAGGUGAAAUUCGUAGAUACUCGGGAGGAACACCAGUGGCGAAGGCGGCGACCUGGGCCAAUAUUGACGCUGAGGUGC
rnacentral:rRNA from 1 species